GAUCCGCCUAUCUGGCCUAUCUUUAUAGCUCUUUGUGUAAAAAUUCACACAAAGACACAUCUACCUUUUCUGGAUGUGUUGUUUUGCUCCAAGCAUGGGGUUGGUCAAGACUAUCGUCCCUAGCGCCCGUCAACAACAACCCUUUCACAUUCCCGUAUGCACAAAAAUGGUCGGCACAUGGUAUGAGUUGUAACAGAUGUCCUAGACACUGUAUUACCCAGUAUCGCAAUCUCUUGGAUCACCUUCGACCGACAGAUUUCAUUUGGCGUACAUACCUAAAUUUGGAUCAUGACCAUGAAAUCAACGAAGAAGACACAGUCGUAUGGACUGCAUGCACACCGAUCAUAAGAUUCAUAACUGUGGAGAUGCACAACAAUGAUCGUGUGAAAUUGCAGUUCGGUAUGCUUCAACACAUCCCAGAUCCCCCAGCAAACCUAGGAGAAUGGCAUCUGCGCAAAGUUAAUGACUAAUGGAACUUCAACCCAUGGCAAAGCUUCGCUAGAUUCGAGAGUCGCAAAUGGAAGCACCGCCAUGACCAUGUCUUAACUGACGCAGUGAUGCCAAAUGAAGAAAAACCAAGUUGUACUUAUAUGGCUUGGUAUAGAUCGGUUGGUUUUGAGUUCAUCAUCGAGGAUAUGUACCUAUAAGACCCACGCCAACAAACUUACACACCAGACGCCUCAACAUCUAACCCCCAACAACAUUGUCAGACCGGUUACACACAACCCCCUAUCCGUCAAACUUUCCAUUCAACAGACACACAAACAUACAACCCUAACAUGCCAUACACCCAGCCACAAUACCAAGAGAAUACACCGUACCACCACUAACAAAUAGAUCAUCAACCAAAGAUCCAACAUCGCUUCGUACCCAACACAUCACCCUACCAAAGUCGCCUUAGCCAAAACACUCAACGAUCAUUUAAUACCAACCGUCCCUCCUCCUACCAUAGCCAAGAAGCCCAAACCUCACAAAACUGAAACCUUCAAUAACCCUAUCUCUACCAAACACCACAACAAUCUUUCCAACAUUUCCUCGACGCAUCAUUCACACCAAUGUCUCCCUUCAACCGUCUCGGUCGCCCACCAACAAGUCAAACACAACCCAACUACUCUAGCAUGGGUCAUGAACUCAGCUAUGGCGGUACACCUUCGAUGCAUACUCAAGACUAUGUUGAUUUGUCUGACUAUCUCAACAGGCCAUCUCCUACAGUUGGUAGUGAUGUUCCUGGUCCCUCAGAUGCUCAAACACCAGUGGUGAAUCAUCAACGUGGGUUAUGGUCACGGGUUCGGGUAGCUAGGGGAUGUGGGGCCGGAGGUCGGUUAGGUGGCCCCGAUCAUCAACAUUAGGCAUUUCUGUUUAAACGGGAAUUUAUAUUAAUAUGAACUAGUCUGAUUUCGAAAUUAUGUAUCACGUAGACUGUUUUUUAUUUUUUUUUAUAAAAUACACUGAGGUGUCAAUCCAAUUGGCGUCUCCCUUUAACACAU